UUGUGGGUGCUAGGAACCAAACUCAGGU
rnacentral:piRNA from 1 species